CGCCCUCGCCGCGCUCCCCGGGCCGGGUCCCGCUCCCCCUGCGGCCCGGCGGGCGCGGGCCGGCUCUCCGGCGGUGCUCUUGCCUGUGCCUGUGGCUGCUCCGUGGGCUCGGCUGAGCGUCCUCGCCGGUGGGCUGCGCUCUCCUUCCGCUGGGACCUGGAGGGCUCUGGCCAAGUUCGGUCGGAUGCCCGACGUGAAUCUUGUACGCGGGGUGCCGGCCGUUCACGCUCCGCGAAGUGACUUCGAGCGCCGCUCGUGCGGCGCUGGGCUGCCUCGCGGAGGGCAGAGUGUCGGGCGCUUCUUCGGGGCCCUCGGGCCGGGGUCGGUGCCCAGCGGGCCAGCCCCUCCCGGGCUCCCGGGGGUCCCCUGCGGGGCGCAGUUGAGUCCUCGCGCCGCUCCAGUUGUGGCCUGGACACCUCCGCUCGCUUUGUUUCCCUUUUCUUAACGAUGACAGUCGAGUGCCCGAAAACCGUCGUUGGUUACAUUUUGUCUGAUCUUUUACUUGUUGGAGAAACAAGAGAAGACCUGUCAUCGGGUGGGAGCUGCCACUGCGGGGCCAGUCCGUGAACCUCAGAGAAGGAUCACAUAGGAAACCGCAGAGACCUGGACAGAGUCCCAGCCCUGGCGACGUAGUUUACGCCCGGAAGCCAGCCUUAGCAAAGGUAAUCUGGAAGCAAAUGUUUCUGUGGACACUCGAGGGCUGUUUCCACCACUGCUGAAACCCUCUGGGAGUUUCCACGGUGAAGUGUCCAUUCGUUUCUUCCUGAUUUGUGCUCAAUUUCUUAGUUAUGAGUCUGUAGGUAGCAGCAGUCUUGCAUACUGGUUAUACUUCUUAUUCAUAUUCAAUCCUAUUAUAAUAACUGUCACUGGCUUUUUAUGACCCUCAAAUGAGUAUCUUUAAGUACAGCAGGUGUGUGAUUUUAUAACGUAUCAUCACGCUUUGUGCACACAGCGAUGCAAACAGUUGAAUCCUGAAAGGGUCCAGCUGCCUCCGUUGUGAGUGUCCUAUUGUGAGCACCUUGAAAUGCUUUAUUACUCUUAAAAUACUUAUUCAUGUAGGGAAUAAACACCGCACUAUAACAAGUGUCACGCUAAGAACUGUUACUGAGCUUAAACUUCUUUAGCAGGAAAAGGCGUGUUUCUGUGCAAGCGUAAACACAAAAAGGAAUUGUUCAAUAAAGGAAUAAUACGUACAAAUUAACUCUCUCUUUCUCUCAAAUUGUUCUAUUUUAUUAUAAUCCUCUCAGUGGUUUGGUUUAGGAGUAUUUCACGUGUAUUUUAACUAAUGUCCCCUUCCGUGUUAUUUUCAACGGAACCGAUUUAGGAAGGCUGGUGGCCAUGCCCUUAAAUUCAUGUUUGGCAUGUUUGUUUAUCAAACUAAUAUUGGUUAGAUGCCCAUCUUAUGAAAGAAUGAUGCCAACAACUAGAGAGGCAAGCGGUGAGAUCAGGUAAGAGCCCUGCCCUCAGGGAGAUGUUCGUUUGGAAGGAGAAUGAUACACACAAAGGCCUGGGAUCCAGGUGGAAAGAGCUGGAGAAGAGGGGGUAAG